rnacentral:tRNA from 1 species
GCCAGAAUAGCUCAGUUGGCAGAGCGGUUCACUCGUAAUGAACAGGUCAGGGGUUCGAAUCCCCUUUCUGGCU